rnacentral:lncRNA from 1 species
CUUUUGUAUAAGCACUUAGUUAGUCCAUAUAUACAGGGUUGAUCUUAUCUAGUGGUACACAUACAUAUAUGUAUAUGUAUUUAAGUCAUAAAUAAAUCCAGCCAUCCUUUGUGCAUAAACAAACUAAUAUACACAUUUCGUCAUUUCGCGUGAGCAAAAAGCUAAAAGGCAGUGCAUCUCAGAUCUCCUAGAUGUUGAAGUUGAGGUGGCGGGGAUUAUGGACAUUGUGAAAUGUUCUAGAAGUCUGAUUUUCAAGAAGAGCAAUGAUUGAGUAGAGCUCUCCAGGAAAGCAGGAAGAGGGGGGCAUAAUUUAUUGAAGGAACCAGAGUUUCCGUCCAGCUUUGAGAAGAAGAUCAAGGAAGACCCAACCAAAUCUAUGAAUCGCCUCGACAACGACUUUUCCGUGGCUUCUAGAACCAUCAAACGAGCCAUGAAGGUUGAAUUAAGAUUUUUCUCAUACACGAGAACCCUACACCACCUUUUAACUGGUCUUGAAGAACCUCCUGAGUUCGCGUUUUACUGCUCAAGCCUGUAUAUAUAGACAACUAUUUUAUAGGCAUAUAUCCCUCAAUUAUAGGCUUUGUAUUCCAAUUUUUGUGUUUUGGUAAUAUGCCCAAGAAUGUUAACCAUAGUUUAAAACCUUCAUUUGAUUUAUGGCACUUAAUUCGGCUCCGAUAUGGUCUGUCAAAUAGAGUCCAUCAAUCAUUACUCAUUCUUUAAUUGUGACAUUGAAUUUUACAUAUUAAGUCUUAAGUAUGUCUCAAUUGCUCAUUGUCUCUAACGUUUGGUGUCAAUAUCCUAUCAGGGUCAGCAUGAAUGCAGUACACAUUAUAUUGUUCUAUCAUUUAACCUCCAAAAUACAUUUGAUUUCACAAUCUACAAACAAAAACAUCACGGAUUGUUUUCUAAAAAGAAAAGCCCUAUAAAAACUAUAAAACAUUAUAGACUAUAAAAUGGAGCCUCAGCCUAACUCUUGCUCGUUAUUUGAGUUCUCCCGGUCUUAUUGUUGGGUUUUUACUUGUGUUACUGUAAGUUUCUGAAACACUUUGUAAAUCUGUGAUGUAUUCUAAUUAUUAUUUAAAUUGCGUAUUAUUCCAUGUUCAUUACUAUCUUGUCUAAAUAAACGACACAUUUACAUUUA